rnacentral:rRNA from 1 species
UAAUACGGAGGGUGCAAGCGUUAUCCGGAAUUAUUGGGUUUAAAGGGUGCGUAGGCGGGAGAUUAAGUCAGUGGUGAAAUCCUGCAGCUUAACUGUAGAACUGCCAUUGAUACUGGUUUCCUUGAGUAUAGCUGAAGUGGGCGGAAUGUGUAUUGUAGCGGUGAAAUGCUUAGAUAUUACACAGAACACCUAUUGCGAAGGCAGCUCACUAAACUAAUACUGACGCUGAGGCACGAAAGCGUGGGGAGCAAACAGGAUUAGAUACCCUGGUAGUCCACGCCGUAAACGUUGAUUACUCGAUGUGUGCGAUACACUGUACGCGUCUGAGCGAAAGCAUUAAGUAAUCCACCUGGGGAGUACGUUCGCAAGAAUG